rnacentral:tRNA from 1 species
GUAGCUCAAUAGUAGAGUACUUGCCUGGCACUCAGGAGGCCCUGGGUUCAAGUCCUAGC